AAGCAGGCUGGACACCAUGCUCUUCACCAAGACUGUCCAAUUUGUGGUGAAUUUUCUUCUGUCCUGGCGAGGGGGUCUGAGGGAGGGUGCCGACGGGAUAAAGCGUACGGCCCUAGCAGCACUUGGGAAUUUGGAAGGCAGGGAUGGGGGGGCCGCUCCAAUAUCCCCCUCUACCCCUCUGAAUGGACCAAGAGUAACCUCGACCAUGGUCGAUUCGAGGCGGCACCUCCUUCCGCCCGUCACACCCUCCCCGAGAGAUCUCGGCCCGGCUCCCUCCUCAGGAGGCCUCGGGCCACGCCCCUGCAGAGCUGGGACCAGGAACUGUGUUUCUGCGGCUGCCGGGGCCCUGCCUUGCCGGAGCCCGCCGCCCGCCGCAUCCUGGGUGACUACUGGCUGAGUCCGCAGCGCCACGGCCCACCCAGCGCCGCCUAGGGCUGGCCGUCGGCGCGCAGGAUUGAGCUGCUGCCUGGGGCCACCGGCCCGGCCGAUGUGCAGUCGCCGAGCUGGCCCGCUGGCCACGGCGCGCGCCCGCACCUCACUUGGAAGCACCGAUGGCAGAAUAUUAACUACCAGUUCCAGAGCAAGAGGAAGAGACACCUGGUUUUCCUGCGCCCGUGAGAGCCGGGAUUUGGGGACACAGGCUUCAGGCUUUUUGCAUGAUGAUCCCGAAGCAGACUUGCACCAUGCCAAGGAUGAGCUGGAAGGAGUGCUGAACAAUUCAGUGCCCCCUGUCUUCAGAUUAUCUGCCUUAUCUCCCUCUUGGGGUCUCUGAGAUCCUGCCCUUCACACUCCAAAUAAAUGAGCUUCUGCCUC